GAGAGUGGAUCACAAGGUCAACAGAUUGAGACCAUCCUGGUCAACAUGGUGAAACCCCAUCCCUACUAAAAAUACAAAAAAUUAGCUGGGCAUGGUGGCGCGUGCCUGUAAUCCCAGCUACUCAGGAGGCUGAGGCAGGAGAAAUGCCUGAACCCAGGAGGUGGAGGUUGCGGUGAGCCGAGAUCGCGCCAUUGCACUCCACCCUCAGUAACAAGAGUGAAACUCCAUCUCAAAAAAAAAAAAAGAAAAAGAAAAAGGCAAGCCUAAGUACAGAAGGGCAAUUAAUGGCUUUUGCCAUAAGUGCUGGCCAGCUUCACUGGGCAGAUAGGCUUGAACCAUGGCAUAAGAUCUAAGGUUACAGUUAAGGAGAGGUGUAAGAAAUGAUGAGUGGAGGGUGGGAUGCAUUCGGUGACUUGUAUGCACACCCCGGAAUCUGGAUUUACAAUCUCAAAACCAAGGGAGGCCAUCAUUCAUAAUAAACAGAUAGUGGAAUCAGGUAGCUAAAUAUUCUGAUGAAGAUGAGCUGAUCUUUCACUGAGCCAAUGGUAAGUUUGCAGAAAAGGCUAGAUUCAAUUAAUGAUUUUUUUAAAAGUGAGAUGAGACAUACCUGAUUCAAACCAAUCUCAAAAAAAUAAUCAGUGAAAGGUAACAAGAAUUUCAGCUACAUGAGAUUAAUCAGCAGGAUUUGAAUUACAAGUAAUACUAUUCCACAAAGAGCCAAAAACCCCCACAGAUUUUAAUCUACCACUGUCACGGGGAGAGAGCUAGUGUUUAGGCCUCUGGCUUAGUAUAUGUUAGCACAGGAGAGAAUGUGCAGGCAGUCACAGUUUCCUUUAGUGUGCCUGCUGCAACACUAUUGCACAACAUUAGGGGCAGGCUGAUGUACAGUUGGUCAGUACUAGGACAGCCAGACUCCGUGCUUACAGCCAGUGUCCAUCCUUGUUGGCUGACAGCCAUGCCUCGUCAGUCAGCGCCAUCAUCCAGGGUACUAAACAUUGUCAACAUUACUCCAGCUUCCAGGGGCUAUUCAGAAUGUUUUUGAGAGAUGCCCGGACCAUAAAUGGCCAAGGGAAGAUUCCUAAGAAAAAAACUAGUAGCUUCUUCCUAAGAUGCAAAACUCGACCAUUGGGAUGGAUACAAAGAAGAAAGAAAGAGACAACACCCAGAUUUAUUUGUCAACCCCUGUUUGAGAGAAGUGUGAAAGGUCUGCAGAAAGCAUACAUUCUGCCAUUUUGGAUUUAUAUCCUAUCCAGGAUUUACUGGCCUUCCUGGAAUUUUGGUGAAAAAUUCCAAAUUUCCCAUAUAUUCCAAAUGUAAAAUAUCGACUUUGCUUUCAGAGUGCCAAAUACUGAUACAGGUUACAAAGGAAGUUAUGAACUUCCUACACUGGAGGAAUUUUAAAGUAGGAUUUCCUUUGCUAGAAUGGCAGGGAGAAGAAUGUGUAAGAAGAGUGAUGGAGUAAGGUAUCUAUCCAUUUGGUUUAGCCUUUUAAAUAAUUACUUUGCACAGAGAAAAUGAGAUCAGGAAGAAAGGCCAAUAUAGCCUGAUAAAUUGGUGGGUAGUAAAGUGCAUUGGGACUUGGACAUUUUUUGAAAAGUUGCCUUUGUGUCAGAUACCAGGUAUCACAUAAAAGAAGAAAUCCAGCAGUGUUUGUCUUUUAUAGUGAAAGUAAAGUAUGAAGGUUAAAAGCAUAGACCCUGGAGCCAGACUUGGCCUGGGUUUGGAUGCCAGUUCUGCUACUGAGUAGCUGUGUGACUAUGGAUCAAUUACUUAAACUUUGUGCCUCGGCUUUAUCAUCUGCAAAAUCAAAUAACAUGGUUUCCCUCAUAAGGUUACUAUGGAGAUUAACAACAGAUAUAAUGGCUGGCUUAUAGUAAACCAUGUUAGCUCUGAUAUUUUUAAUAUGCUCUUAGUCCUAAUCCAUUUGCUCCUACAGCAGUUUUCUUUUCUGUUCUCCAUUCACUUGGCAUCUGACCUUAUCAAUAAUUUUUCCUUUUUUUUUUUUAAAUUUUCUUUACUGGGUUAUUUGGUAUUGUGGGCUAUCUGCCUGACUUCCUCUCACUGACAUUCAGGCAUAUCCUCUUCCAUUGUCUCAACCCACCCAUUGCAAAACAUACUACUCUUAUGGCACAAUUUCAUUCCCCCAGUGUUCCAUGACAUGAACUUAACUUCAGCCUUGAGAGAAUAUUUAUAGGGUUCUUUUGCUAUUUGAAGAAAUAAACUCUUAGAUGGUAUGAAACAGAUAAUGCUAUGGGUUCACCAAAUUUGACUUCAUUUUCCUCUUUUGGGGCACACAGGAUAGCUACAUAUUUCACCUUCUGUUGCAUUUAGGUUGGGUCCAGAUGAUUGAGUCUGGAUCCUGGUGUUUUGGUGGAAGUGAUGUGUUGUACUUUCUGGACUUGGGCAAUCUGGACUGAUUGCCCAAGCUGUUUUCCCUUGUCAUGAAUGCCUGAGAGACCUCACGUUUAGGAAGGUAGCAUUAUUAGUCUGAUAUGGGAUUGUAUCCCUGCAUCACUUCCUGGGGGAAAGCUACCAAAGACAAUUGCCUGUGUUGCACUGGACUGGGAAGUGAGUCACGAAUAAAUCUUUACUCUGUGCACCCUGUGAGACAUUGAUGUUUAUAUGUUGCUGCAUUUCCCUGAUUAAUUUACAUGAUACAGAAUAAAAAAUUGUGGAUAGAACGUAAGUCUAUAGUAAGAGUAUUAUAGCGAAGUUUGAAUAUAUUUAGACCAGGAAACUAUUACUGAACAUGGAGUGUCAAGUAGCUGAGCAGCGUGUUGUAGAGAAAAGAAUAUGGACAGUAGAAUCCCACAGAACCAGAUUCAAAUUCUGCUCCAAAUGUAUAUAAGCUUUGACUUUCAUAUGUUCUUUCUCUAGAAUCCAAAUAAUUUCUAAUAAUAUUCUUGGAGAAGUCAACUAAGACCCAUUAGCUAAACUCUUCCAACUCCUUGCACUUCCCAGUACCCUAAUACAGCUAAUCCAGUGUUUAAUUUCCAAUCCAGAUUCUACAUUCUCAACCACUUUUUAGAAAUUUUACUUCAUAGGCGCAUGGAACUAAAGUCUUGAAAAUGAAGGGUAGCAAUUUGGUCCAGAAAAAGUACCCAUAUCCUUAAUUUGUGGCCAAAUGAGAGAAAAUCAUUAUAAAAUUUUAUGUGUUGAAAAUAGUACUUAGUAGAGAACAAUUUUCCCUUUAUUUAGUGCAUUAUUCAGGAAGUUCCGAAGUUAAAAAGCCUAUGCCAUGCACCUCAGCACAAUUUUGAAAAUAUUAUAUUUAAUUAAAAUCGGAAUUUCUGAAAUGAUUACUAUAGCAUUUAUCUUUCAAAACCUCACAUACAGUUUUUGACCUAUAAAAUAUUUAUGAGUUAAUUUGCCUUUUCCCUAUGUUAUGCACACACGAGCAGCUAAGACCUUGAAAUUUCCUUUAAUACAAGCUGCCCUUUUAAAAAGUUGUGGUUUUAAGUAGGAUAUUUCCUCAGUAGUAUGUAUGGAACAAACAUCUCCAUACUCAGUUUUACUUACCCAGCCAGGAAGAGAAAGGGAGAAAGAGAAGAAACCUGUAAUAUCAUCUUAGCAAAAGGAAUAAUCUCCAUUUUAAAUUAUUGAGGGUGAGCCACUGGCAGAAACUGCCAGCAAGGUUAGAGAUACCUAGCGACCACUUAAUUGUCAACUUCACUGUUUACACACUUACACACAGUCACUUUCACCACAAUAUAAAUACAGACUUCAAAGGCACACCUGCUAAAGCUGCCAUUGUUACUUGCUGUUUAAUAUUUAAACAAAGUAUUUAGAAUUUAUGGCAUAUACUUGGUAGCUUUUUAAAUUUAAAAAAACAGGCUAAUAACAGAUAAAUGUACUUAGCUGCAAACAUUUCACAUUAGACACACAGAAAAAGAGAAUUAACAAUUCACCAGGUAUUGCAUUGUAUUGUAACUUUAGUUGUUUUAUUCUACAUUGCUCAGUAAUAUUUUUGAAAGGUCAAUACUGGAAACAACUAAGCUCUCUGUGGCAUAGCUUUCCUUUUAUAAAAUUAGCAAACUUUUCAUUCAAUUAUCAAAUAGAUGUCCCUAAAAAUUGAUAAAGUAGCAAUGUGAUCUUUCAGUACUUUUUGCCUUUCUGAUGUUUGCUCACCAUUCCUUCUUUUCUUUUCUCUUUCUUAUCAUCAUCCCAACCUGUAAUAUCCCUAAGGCUCUAUUCCAAUACCUCUACUUCUCCAGUACUCCCACAGACCCUCUUCCCUGGUAAUAUGGAGUUGCAUUUUACAUAGAGUUUGGUUCUAAAAUCAUUAGGCGAGGUACAUACAAAUUCAGGAAUACCCUGGGGAAAAAAAUUCCUUCAUUCACCCUUAAAUAUAAUAUACGUGGCCGUUUUUAUGCGUCAAGUUUGAGGCCUCUAUACCAUCCAACUCAGCCAGUUUUUCCUCCAGCAUUGGAACAGAUUGCUGUUUUCUCCGCUAAACACCUGAUAAAGUAGUUGGCUUGCAUUUGGGGGCCAUGUUGUACAAGAAAAAACAAUGUAUCUUUAAACACUUGAAUCACACUCAGCAUGGUGAGAUGCUCAUACUAUGAGAGCAAUUCAGGAACUGAGACCAACUGAAGGAACAUGAGAUUCACAUCUCCCUUUUUGCGCUCCUCUGGGGCAUAUGCUUUAGUGGAACGUGGGACAGAAUCACCCACACUAUUUACAUUCUCCUCUUUCUCUCUUUCUCUUCCUGGCAGAGUAAGUAUAAUCGAGUAUGGACAAAAACUUUAUUCUAUAUGUAUUGAGGAAAUAUGCCAUUUAAAACCAUAACUUAGAAGGGCAGCUCAUGUUAGAGGAAAUUUUAGGGUCUCAGUUGUCAUUGUGUGCUGUGACAGGAAUCUCCUUUGAUAAAAUGGAGUGAACGCUUCAUAGGUUGAAAUCAUACAAUGGUGAAGAAGACUGCAUAUCUGCAAGUAUGGAGUAUGGAGAGAACUGAUUUGCUCUAUAUCAUGGUUUUGCAGCCUUGGAUCCGUUGACAUUUUUGAUCAGAUAGUCCCUUAUUGUGGCUGGCUGUCCUGUGCAUUGUAGGAUGUUAAGCAGCAUACCCAGCCUCAACUCACUAGUUGCUUGUAGUAAUCUCCCCAAAGUAUGGCAACCAAAAAUGUCUCCGGACAUUGCUGAAUCACCCCUUGUCAGUGUGUGUCAAGGGCAGAGGGAGGUAUCACCCAUGAUUGAAAAACACUUCUCAUUAUAAUAGAGUGAAGAGUUUGAAAGUUUUCAGGAGAAAUUCUAAAUGGGAGACAUGAAAAGGGGAUAUGGAGUGGGAGUUGGAGCAAGACUGGGCACUGUGUUAGGUGAAGGGGCCUUUGAAAAUCCUUUAGUCAUGGGAUGAUUGGAGGCUUAUAUAAUAUAUAUGUCUAGGCUGGGAGCAGUGGCUCACUCUUAUAAUCCCAGCACUUUGGAAGGCCAAGGUGGGCAGAUCACUUAAGGUUGGGAGUUCAAGACCAGCCUGGGCAACACAGCAAAACCCCAUCUCUAUUACAAACAGAAAAAUUAGCUGUGUGUGGUGGUGCUUGCCUGUAGACUCAGCUACUAGGGAGGCAAGAAUUGCUUGAACUGAGAGGUGGAAGUUGCCAUGAGCCACGAUGGCAUGACUGCACUCCAGACUGGGUGACAGAAUAAGACUCUGUCUUUGUAUAUAUAUGUCUAAAAUCUGAUUUGAAACUAUUUUCUUUUUUUUUUUUUGAGAUGGAGUUUCACUCUUGUUACCCAGGCUGGAGUGCAAUGGUGCGAUCUCAGCUCACCGCAACCUCCGCCUCCUGGGUUCAGGGAAUUCUCCUGCCUUAGCCUCCUGAGUAGCUGGGAUUAUAGGCACACGCCACCAUGCCCAGCUAAUUUUUUGUAUUUUUAGUAGAGACGGGGUUUCACCAUAUUGACCAGGAUGGUCUUGAUCUCUUGACCUCAUGAUCCACCCGCCUCGGCCUCCCAAAGUGCUGGGAUUAUAGGCUUGAGCCACUGCGCCUGGCCACUAUUUUCUGUUAUAUGAACCCCUUUCCAUUUCUCAAACCUCCAGUCAAGUCUAUUGUAAAUACCAACAUCAUAUGUGAACAACUAACUUAUGGCCAUUAAGGAAGAGAAUGAGUCCCCCAUCUGAGCUAACAUGAUGUGGAAUAAGGACCCACAUGGAAAAUUUACUUAAUUCAGAAGAAAUGGCAUCUUGGAACCAACUACAAUCAACAAGGGUGACACAAAAGCCUUGAAUUUCCAUGAUGCAUGGAUUAUAGGUUUGAACACAUUUCUUUUUUGAGACAGUGUCUCACUCUGUUGCCAAGCUGGAGUGCAGUGGUGCGAUCUCAGCUCACUGCAACCUCUGCCUCCUGGAUUCAAGCCAUUUCCCUGCCUCAGCUUUGCGAAUAGCUAGGACUACAGGUGCACACCAUGACACCCGUCUCCUGGCUAAUUUCUGUAUUUUUAGUAGAGACAGGAUUUCACCAUGUUGUCCAGGAUGGUCUUGAACUCCUGACCUCAGGUGAACCAACUGCCUCAGCCUCCCAAAGUGCUGGGAUUACAGGCCUGAGUCAUCGCGCCUGGCCAGGUUUAAACACUCUUAUCUAGAUCUUUGAAGUAUGGGAGGUUCUCAGUGACACCAUGAGUGGUUUCAUGACUCCAUGACUUGUGGGUUCUAUAGACCGUGGUUCCCAAGCCCCUGGCCAGGGACUGAUACCAGUCAUGGCCUGUUAGGAACCAGGCCGCAUAGCAGGAGGUAGGCAGCGGAGGAGCCAGCAUUACUGUCUGAGCUCCACCUCCUGCCAGAUCACCGGUAGCAUUAGAUUCUCACAGGAGCACAAAAGCUAUUGUGAACUGUGUAUGUAAUGGAUCCAGGUUGUGUUCUUAUGAGAAUGAUCCUAAUGCCUGAUAAUCUGAGGUGGAACAGUUCCAUCCCGAAACCAUCCUCCUACCCCAAAAAAACCAUCUUCAACGAAACCAAUCUCUGGUGCCAAAAAGGUUAGGGACCACUGCCGUAGACCACACAGAGCUACCACCAACUCCUGCAAGGGUUAAUGUGGGAGGAAAAGAAGAUUCUCUUCUCCUCUACCCAUGUCUGUCUUGGGAUUAGGAUUGGAAUUUCUUCCAGAAAUGGGAAGUGAUCUCAUUGUGAGGAUGAUCUUUACCUUGUAACAUGAAUCUUCCCCAAGAUGCUGCUAAUUUUCCUGCUCCUCACCCUCAACAUCUUGCAGUCUCUUUGACGUCUUCAGCUUAGUUCCUCCUCUAUUACCCUGUAAACAACGUCCCAUAAAGUUUUGUAUAAAAAAAUUUAGAACCGUCGCUCUGUCACGCCGCCUGGCCACAGGUAUGGCAGGAUUCCACUUCUCUUGGCCCACUUCCCUUUUAGUCCCAGAUUUAUCCUGUCAAAUAUGAACUGUUUUCUGAACACAUUCUACUCUUGAUCACUCCUAUGCUACUGGCUCAAGCUGUCCCUCUGUAUAGAGAGCCUUUCAUUGCCAUAUCUUCAGGUCUUAAUUUGAUCUAUUUGAUCUAUUCUAUUCUACUCUAAAAUAUUGAUCCAGUGAUACUAUUUCAUAUAGUAAAGCAAACUCUGAACUCACAGAAUUUUAUUUAUGCCUCCUUAAUGGCAUUAUCACUUUUCUCCAUUGUAACAGCUAUUUGUGUACAUAGUGUACACAGAUAGCUCCUAGACUCAGAGCUGUUUGAAAACAAGAACUAUGUCUUAAUAAUUGGUUCAUAACAGCUGUUAUGUAGUUGAUUUUAAUAUUUUCCUUUUUCCUCAAAAGAAUUUAAGGUGGCUUAAAAGAAGACACAAAAUGUUGGCUAAUGACUUAAAUUAGAAAAAAAGUAAGGGAAAAAUAAGGAAGAUAUAAUAGAAACUUAAGAAUAGUAGGUUGUCAGCUGGGUAUGCUGUGGCUCAUGCCUGUAAUUCCAGCACUUUGGGAGGGAGUGGUGGGAAGAUUGCUUAAUGCCAGGAGUUCAAGACCAGCCUCAGUAACAGCAAAACCUCAUCUCUUAAAAAAAAUAAAAAAAUUAGCUGGGCAUGGUGGUGCAUGCUUGUAGUCCUAACUACUAGGGAGGCUGAGGCGGGAGGAUCACUUGAUUUCAGGAGUUUGAGGCUGCAGUGGGCUAUGAUUGUGCCACUGCAUGCCAGCAUGGGUGGCAGAGUAAUACCUUAUCUCUAAAAGAGGGAGAGAGAAUAGUAGAUUGUAAACAAAAAACACUUACUGAAGAAUAAAUAAAUUUUCCUUAUCUAAAUCUUGUCAGUGGGUCCAGUCUUAGAAACAAACUGUGAUUGCUUCCUCAUUCAUAACUCUUCCCCCAGUAGUGAUGUCUGGAUUGAGGAAGGGAAAACACAGGGAAUAAAGAAGUGACGUGAGGCAUUUUUUCAUUCUCUGUUUUCUCCCUUCUCCAGACUGGUCAUGCUUUAUUUAUUACGUGGUCUGUUAGGAACUGCUGUCUUUUUCCAUGAACUUACCUUCCUGAACACCGUGAGGCUUCUAGGAAUGGGCACUUGGUUCAAGCAAGCCAAAUAGAAUCCUUCUCUUGAGUUUUUGGAGCUGAAGAAAGAGGCAAAGGCCUUUUCUCCAUGGAUAAUGAGCCAGAAAUUUGCUGAAUCACUUCAGCCCCUGGGUAGAGAAAGCACAUUUUCAGGAGAAGAAUUUAAAUACAAUCUAUACAAAGAAGCAGAGAUCAGAAAGAGACAAUUCUGAUAGUAUUUGGACCCCUGGUUCUUUUUUCCGCGACCACUCCCAAAGCUUCCUCGCUUUCCAAAGCAUAUUUCUUAGAGCUUCUUCUGGUUCUUCUUGGAUGAAAUCCAAGCUCUUGAGUCUGACAGUCUGGCAUUUCUAGCACCAGUCAGCCUUAUCUUGCUUCUAGCUUCCCAGUCGAGAGUUGCCUUCUCCCAGAGGCCAUGCUCAUUUUCGGUUGUGCAGUUUUCUUGAAUGACCUUUUGCCUCCUCUCUCUAUAAUACUAAUUCUUGCCUCUCUUCAGGGUCUAGUUCAACAUUUAUCUGCUUUACUGAACCCUUCUUGAUUGAUCUUUUCCUUUUCUGAACUACCGUACCCCUUGUAUUCCCAGCUUUUCUAUAUUGUCUGAAACAGAUUUAUCUUUCUGCCUUGUUUUCCUGUGUAUUUUGUGUGUAAGUUUGUGUGUGUGUGUGUGUGUGUGUGUGUAUUUAUUUACUUACAAAGUUGUUAGUUCCUUGAUUUGUUUGGACAUGACCCUUUAGGGUGAGGAGUAGAGGAGAAUUGAACUGAUCCACAUAAAAAAGAGAGCAGAGGUCAGCAAAGCCUAAGUCCUCUCCUCUCGCUAUCCUCUGGAGAAUGGGACAGUAUGAGCUUCACCAAUCACUCUACUUUCUCCACCAACUACCAAGCCCUGGGCUCUGUCCAGGCGUCCUCCUAAAGCAUCUGGCUGGUCAGCAGAAUGGCCACCAUCUCUGCAGGUGCUGGGGGCUCUGGUUCCCGCAUCUCCGUGUCUUGCUUCACCAGCUUCUGGGGUGGCAUGGGGUCCAAGUGCCUGGCUGCAGGGAUGGCCAGGACUCUGGCAGGAAUGGGAGGCAUCCAGAACGAGAAGGAGACCAUACAAAGCCUGAGUGACUGUCUGGCCUCCUACCUGGCCAGAGUGAGGAGCCUGGAGACCAAGAACUGGAAGCUGGAGAGCAAAAUAUGGGAGCACCUGGAGAAGAAGGGACCCCAGGUCGGAGACUGGAGCCAUUACUUCAAGACUAUCGAGGACCUGAGGGCUCAGAUCUUCACAAAUACUGUGGACAAUGCCCACAUUGUUCUGCAGAUCGACAAUGCUUAUCUUGCUGCUGAUGACUUUAGAGUCAGGUAUGAGACAGAGCUGGUCAUGUGUCAGUCUGUGAAGAGCAACAUCCAUGGGCUCCACAAGGUCAUUGAUGACACCAAUGUCACUCAGCUGCAGCUGGAGACAGAUAUCGAGGCUCUCAAGGAGGAGCUGCUGCUCUUAAUAAAGAAGAACCAUCAAGAGGAAGUAAAGGGCCUACAAGCUCAGAUUGCCAGUUCUGGGUUGGCUGUGGAGGUAGAUGCCCUCAAUUCUCAGGACCUUCCUAAGAUCAUGGCAGAUAUCUGGGCCCAAUAGGACAAGCUUCCUUGGAAGAACCAAGAGAAGCUGGACAAAUACUGGUCUCAGCAGAUUGAGGAGAGCACCACAGUGGUCACCACGCAGUCCGCCGAGGUUGGAGCUGCUGAGAUGACACUCACAGACCUGAAACAAACAGUCCAGUCCUUGGAGAUCGACCUGGACUCCAUGAGAAAUCUAAAGGCCAGCUUGGAGCACAGCCCGAGGGAGCUAGAGGCUUGCUACACCCUGCAGAUGGAGCAGCUCAACAAGAUCCUGCUGCACCUGGAAUCAGAGCUCCCACGGACCCGGGCAGAGGGACAGCGCCAGGUACAGGAGCAGGAGGCCCUGCUGAACAUCAAGGUCAAGCUGGAGGCUGAGAUCGCCACCUACCAUCGCCUGCUGGAAGAUGGCAAGGACUUCAAUCUUGGUGAUGUCCUGGACAGCCGCAACUCCAUGCAAACCAUCGAAAAGACCACCAUCAGCUGGAUAGUGGAUGGCAAAGUGGUAUCUGAGACCAACACCACCAAAAUUCUGAGGCAUUAAGCCAGUAGAAGCAGGGACCCUUUGGGGAGCAGGAGGCCAAUAAAAAGUUCAGAGGUUAAAAAAAAGAGAGAGAGAGAGAGAGAGAGCAGAAUAUGAGACUCUUGCAAGCAAUCCAGAAAGGGAGAAAUGAAGACCAGAGAUGGAAGUUUGGGAGAAAGGAGGAGAGUGGAGCAGCGAGCACUGGGAGGUUGUUGUAUAGCCUGAUGUGAUUAUUUUCCAUGUUCCCAAUUCCUCAGGAAAUUAAAGCAAACCCAUAAAACGCUUGGAGAACAUGCGUAUUUUAUGGAAAGUGAUGAAGGGAUAGAAUUUUGGCUUGUCAAGGGGGAAAACAGAGGAAACACACAUGAAUGCAAGUGCUGUAGGCAGAAUGGCCAUGAAAGAUACCAGCCCUUGGGGAUCUGCAGAAAACAUGAGGAGUUUCAAAACCUAACCAUGUCUGGAUUUGGGGGUUCAAGCCAAAGGGCAGGAUGUCUCAACAAUCAUCUGGGUUAUAAGUGUUUAUUCAUUUGGUAGUAGGCAAAUGACUCCUGCCUUCCCAUAUUGAUGAUAAAUCCCAUGAGUAGAGUCCAUGCUGUCUCUCCUAUCUCAAAUUCCCUCACACUGGGUCAAGCUCAAAGUAACUAUAUCCCUUGCCUCUCCACUUUCUAUUGCCCUCUCCAUAUCAAUGUUGGGCUGUUAACUGAUACAAUUUUGCUUUUAUCAGGUCGGUUUCCAGAUCUAUAGAAGAAGAAGGAAAAAGAGGAGAUGGGAAGAGGAGGGCCCUGUUAUUGCUCUCCACAUGUUAAAAUCCUGAUGGUGGCCAGAUUCCUUCGUUAUCUGGCUUCAUUUCAUUUAUCUAACCUCAUCUGCUUUUGCCCACAUGGUUCUCCUUUCCAGGAAUAUUGAGUUCCUCUCUGUCUACUCACAUAGCAUGAAGAGUUUCUUGUCAGUGUCUAGCAAGAGACAGAGUUCCUCCAAGAAACCUAUUUGACUCCCAAUUACCAGUUACCUAUCUUUCACACUUUUAAUUGCAUUUAUAUUUAGUAAUAUGUCCCAUGACAUUCAUUAUUCUUCUCUUGGUGAUUUUUUGAUGGCCAGUCUUCUCAUAAUCAGCUUGAGGACUAAAAUAGUGAUUUGCAGUUUUCAUGUAGUAGGUACUUAGUACUCACUCAGUGUUUUGUAAGUCCCUUCCCUAAAUGAGUUCACCAAGGUCAGGGGCUUUGUUUUGUUUCCUACUCUUUGCCCAAAGCUAGAACUUGCCUAGAAAACAGUGGGUACUCAGUGAAUAUUUAUUGAAUGAAUUAAUGAAUUUCUUGAAUGAAUUAAUGAAUACUGAAUUAAUGAAUGCCAACCUUUAUGAAAUACAGCAGUGCAGAACAAUAUGUCCUUCUUUGUCUUUCCCACAUAUUAUUUCAGACUUUUUCAUCUCUCCCUUAACUCUCUUAUAACUCCUUUGUUGAAUUUCUCAGCCUUUUAGCUCCUUGAGUGUAGUAUCAGUCACUCUUAAAGCAUUGCACUUAUUUCAAAUCACAUUUGUGUCAAGUUUAAUCCAUUUAUGCUGAAAGAGAAAACAGGGUAGCCAUGUAGAUGUGUGGGCUGUUCCUUCAUGCCUACACUCCCUUGAGUGUAUCUCAACACAGAAAACAUGGGAAUUGGGCAUGUCUGUAGCAAAAUGGAAUCUCUCUAGAGAGGUACUAUUUUCAUAAAUGGAAAUGUUCACUAUCAUAAAGAUAUCAGUAAUACUCAAAUUCAUAUAUAAAAAUCUGUUCUAAGUCCAAUCAAAAUCCCUACAGAGAAUUUUAUUUAGUGAAAGUUAAUAAUUGAUUCCAGAAUUCACUUGGAACAGAAGGUGGUGAAAAGCCAAGGCAGUUUUAAAGAAGAAUGAAGGAAAGGCAGUUUAGUUAUUAAUAUAUCAGAAUUUAUUGCGAAGCCAUAUUAAUUAAUUCAAAGUAAUGUUAGUGUAGGAAUAGACAAACACACUACUUAAACAGAACAGAGGGCCCAACAUACAUUUUUAUAUCUACGAAAGUGACACUACAAAUUAGUAUGGGGCUGGUGGGCACAGUGGCUGUUGCCUGUAAUCCCAGCACUUUGGGAGGCAGAGGUGGAAGAAUUGCUUAAACCCAGUCAUUUAAGACCAUCUUGGGAAGCACAGUAAGACUUUGUCUCUAGGAAAAAUAAAAAGUUAGCUGAGUAUGGUGGCAUGCACCUGCAGUCCCAACUAUUUGGGAGGUGGGAGGAUCAGGAUCACUUGAACCAAGGAGUUUGAGACUUCAGUGAGUAUGAUCAUGCCACUGCACUCCAGCCAGGGCAACAGAGUGAGACCCCAUUUCUAAACAAACAAAAAAAUGAGCAUGGAAUAUCAGGUUGGAAAAAAUUGUGCUAUAACAAUUGACUAACUGUAUAAAACAAAAGUGUAUUUACUAUAUUAUAUACAAAAAUAAAAAAUGAAUUUCAGGUGGAUUAAUAACACAAAUGUAAAAAGCAGAAACUAUAAAUACAUUCAAGAAAAAUGCAGAAUAUUUUUAAGGCUUCAGAUAGGGAAACAGUUCUAAACAACACAGAAAAUGCAUAAACCAUAAAGAAAAAAGAUGAAUAAAUUUGACUACAUUAAAAUUUAAAGCUUAUUUAUAAAAAGAUAUCAUAAAAAAGCUAAAAGGCAAGUCACAGACUGAGAGAAGAUAUUUCAAACCAUUUAUCUUACCAAGAAUUGUAUCAGGGAAUAUAUAUUUUUUAAACUUAAUAAGAAAAAGACAAGAAUUAAAUGGAAAAAAAUGGGCAAGGAUAUGAAUAGGCAAUUCACAGAAACAGAAAAACAAAUUAUCAUUUGUGUUAUUCUCUACUAGUAUCCAGAAAACUACAAUAUCUAAUGAAGUCUAGAAUGCAGAGCCUCUAUUUUAUUGCCAUUCUUUUUUAAGGUAUAUAUGUGUGUUAGAAAAACUCUUUUAUAUGUGAACAAGUAGUUACAUCUCCAGAAGAUUGUGAUGGUAAAAAGUUGGAAAAACCCCAAAUUCUCACUAACAAAGGAAUAGAUAAAUAACUUGCAGCAUUUAAAAAAAAUCUGUUAAAAGUAAACUAAUUAGGGCUAUGUGAAUCAAUAUGAAUAUACCUCGAAAAACAUAAUUUGAAGAAAGCAAAUUGAGUGUAUACAGCAUUAUACCAUUUCCAUAAAGUUUGAAAACACACAAAACAAUAUUUUCUAUCAUUGAAGGACAUAUGUUGUAUAGUAUAACAGACUGGAUUCCCAAAAAAGUAAGUUCUAACAUAGAGAUUAUCAAGCAAGAAGUUCUUUAGUGAGUGAUUUUGGGAACAACAUCUUGUGGAAAGGAGGUGAAGAAGAACUGUACAGAAGGGAGCUUAGGCUGCGAUGCAGACCUAACAAAGACCCCAUUCAACCCCUCUAGAGGCCUCUGAAACUGGAAUUACCCUUCAGAAUUGUCUUGAGUCGAGGUGAUGGCCCUUGCCUUUAUAGCCCUGCAAUGAUGGGUCACUGGAUGACAGGAAAAUGUAUGAACUGGGGGAAGGCAGCUCUCCUCUGUCUCCGUGUAGUCAUUAGGAACAUUCAACACCAAUAUUCUGUUAUUCUUCUAGAAAUACGGUAGCAUUAUACUUUCUCAUGUCCUUUAAGUUAGAGUUGGCCAAUGCAUGGGUCAGCUCUAGGUAGAAGCUUUUAAUAGUUUGAAAGUAAUUCUCCAAAUGUCCUUCCCACUACCCUGGUGAUCUGUGACAUUCUAGGUGGUAGAAGCUCUUCCAGCUGCAUUUCUCAGUGAAGAUAAUGUGGAUCGGUGCAUUCAGCCAUCCUCUAAUCAACAUGAGGCAUGAGCAAAAAGUAAACAUUUUCUUUUGUACAUCACUGAUAUACUGGGGUUAUUUGUCACUGCAGCAUUACCUCCAUGUGUAGACUGAUACCACCUUUUGAUUCCAAGUGUCACUUUUACCGUCUUUGAUUUCUCUUCUUACUUCUUGCCAUAUCUAUUUACUUAACAUUCUUUUUUUGUCUUGUUCAAGAUCAGGAUUUCACAAAGUGUGUUCUGUAGAAAACUAGUCAUGUGAGCUGCUCUCCAAAAUCAUGGUUUUUAUGGUCAACUAAGUAGGAAACCGCAUGCUUUAUCACUCUCUCAGGGAUUUAUAAUUGCUCGUUAGCAUACUAAAUUUCGUAAGCAGUCUUUCCAUUAGAAAACCUGUAUUAACUAAUUUUAAUCUUCCAUUUCACAAACUCAUUUGACUAUGGAACCCUAAAAAUAACAUCUAUUGACAUCUGACAGAGAAACACAUUUUUGGAAAGUAUGCCCUAAGCAUUUUUCCACUUUUCAUUGCAAAUUAAACACAUCCCGCAGAUCUAGUUGGAAGGGAAGAGAAUGGACCUGGGACUUAUUUACAAUGGCUCCAAGAAUGAACAGCCUUACUACAGGCAUAAAAUUUCAAUAUAAUUGACUUGUAAAGAAACUAUUCAAUUAACUUCAAAAUCAAUCAGCACACAUGUGAAUAUAGAGAAUGUGAAACAUAAAUACGUAUGUAUUGGUUAAGGGGUCCUUAAUUACCUAACGCUGGCAAUAUGUUUGCAAUGAUAACAUGCAGACGAAUAAAAAGCAAAACAGUAAACGUUAGAAAUGAGUGAGUAUAGACAGAAACUUGAGGUUGUCUAAGAUCACAUAGGGAGUACAGAGUUAGUAGUAACUACAUUCCAUAUGUUGGAUCUCAGAAUCAAAGAUUCACUGAUCACACAUCUUUCUUUGAUAUUAUUCUGAAUCUCUUGAAGUGUGAUGUAUAACAACUUGAAUCUUAAGCACAAACAAUUAGGAUAAUUAGCAUCUCUGUAUAUUUCCAUGAUGGCAUCAGACAACAAAAGGAAACUUGCCAAUUUCCCAAUCAGGCAAAGUCCAAAAGACACUUUCCUGCCUGCCUGCCUUAUUAUUGCAGCAAAUUAUAGCACCCUUUGCUGGCUGAGAAAAUAGCCACUCAGAAUGAGGAGGCAGGGCAGACGGCUGUCUGUGCCUUUAGAAAAUGCUUGUUUAUUUUUUAAAGAAUUUAAUAUUUAACUCAUCUAAUAUCUAAAGAAUUUAGACAAGAGUUAAAGAAUUACUUUUUUUUAAAAUGAAAACUCUACAUUUUAAUAAAUUGGAGUGGUUGACAACCUGGAAUGGAUGGAGCAGAAUGUUGCAUAAUCUCUAAUCUCUUCCUACUUCUUUUUAUAUGUUUUGAAUGAAAAAAGAAUUAUUUUAGUUGACAGGAAGAAAAGACUUCAAUGGAACACAAGACUACCAAGGUUUUAUCUUUGUUUGCAUGCAUAAAAGCUUGAGAUUGGAAUAAAAUUCUUAGUGUAAUGUAUUAGAGACUCAGAAUCCAGAUAUUUUGGGAGUAGAUGGCUCAGCAAAAACAUAGAUUACUUUUAGACCCAAUCUAUUAUUUAUUAUUUCAGUUUAUAAAAAAUGCACCCAAUGCAUCUUCGGGAUGAAGAGUUCAAAGUCAUUGUGAUUGUGUAGUUGGCUUAUCUCUCGCAUAUAGAAAUCUGCAUAUUUUAUGUUGACUUGAAGUUGUGUUCUUUGAGAGAUUGUCAUGCCGUAAAGACAAAAAGAUGUUAAAGAAUAAAAUUCACAGUGUCAUCAUAGAUAUAUUAAUUACUUUUAAGUUACAUAUCACACAACGAUUUCCUGUCAAUAGAGGUUUUAGUUAAAUUAUGAGGAAUGGCUGCUGAGAUUUGUAGUGGGGCAUCAUUUUUCAUCUCUAUAGUUAAUCAUUUCUAUUGUCUUGAAGUCAGAAUAAAAAACCCUCCGCAGAGUUCAAAGUGUGAAACCCAUACUUAGAAAAUUAAGUAAUUACAGUUUUUUAAUGUCAUCCGUGUUUACAUGAAAUUGUCAUUUCUAACACUUGCUCUUCUUCCUCCCUUUAGAGCUUACAACUUCCCUCCCUGACCCCACUUCUGACACAUUUUGGUUUGCCAAAUAGACUCAAUUUCCAAUUUGAUAAAGAAAAUGGUUAUGCUCAGCUCAAAAGAUUCCUACAUUGUUUUAGUUGGAGAUUGAUAAUGAUUCUUUCAAAGUUCUAAUUUUGAUUCUGUGAGUCUCCUUCCUAAAAUAAUUCAUAAUGCUGAGAAACAGCAUUUCUUAUAUUAAAAUUUAAUUUCA